GACGAACGCUGGCGGCGUGCUUAACACAUGCAAGUCGAACGGAAAGGCCCUGCUUUUGUGGUGUGCUCGAGUUGCGAACGGGCGAGUAACACUUGCGUAACCUGCCCUUGACUUUGGGAUAACUUCAGGCCACUGGGGGUCAUACCGGAUAGGAGCUCCUGCUGCAUGGUGGGGGUUGGAAAGAUUCGGCGGUUGGUGAUGGACUCGCGGCUUAUCAGCUUGUUGGCGAGGUAGUGGCUUACCAAGGCUUUGACGGGUAGCCGGCCUGAGAGGGUGACCGGCCACAUUGGGACUGAGAUACGGCCCAGACUCCUGCGGGAGGCAGCAGUGGGGAAUAUUGCACAAUGGGCGGAAGCCUGAUGCAGCAACGCCGCGUGCGGGAUGACGGCCUUCGGGUUGUAAACCGCUUUCGCCUGUGACGAAGCGUGAGUGACGGUAAUGGGUAAAGAAGCACCGGCUAACUACGUG
rnacentral:rRNA from 1 species